rnacentral:rRNA from 1 species
GUCUUUUAGAUCAUAAUUUAAAGUCUAACCUGCCCACUGAAUUUAUUUGAAGGGCCGCGGUAUUUUGACUGUGCAAAGGUAGCAUAAUCAUUAGUCUUUUAAUUGAAGGCUUGUAUGAAUGGUUGGAUGAAACAUUAACUGUCUCAAUUUAAUAAAAUUAGAAUUUAAUUUUUAAGUUAAAAAGCUUAAAUUAAAUUAGAGGACGAGAAGACCCUAUAGAUCUUUAUAAUUAAUUAUUUAUUAUUAAUAUAGAAAAUUAAUUAAUGUUAUUUAAUAAAUUAUUUUAUUGGGGUGAUAAAUAAAUUUAGUAAACUUUAUUUUAUAAAAACAUUUAUUUAUGAAUAUUUGAUCCAUUAUUAAUGAUUAAAAGAUUAAGUUACCUUAGGGAUAACAGCGUAAUUUUUUUAGAGAGUUCUUAUCGAUAAAAAAGUUUGCGACCUCGAUGUUGAAUUAAAGGUUAAUUUUAGGUGCAGAAGUUUAAAGUUUUGGUCUGUUCGACCAUUAAAUC